CUAUAUCGCAAUUUUAUCUUAGACAUGUAACUUGAUAACUUGAUUGUGCCUUAAUUUCACAUCUCGUUGGCAGACUAAUGGACCGCUCAUGGACUGAACAGUAAUCAUUGUGCUUCCAAUGGACAUAUUGAAGCCAGAUUUAAUGUGGAUAGAGGGCAGAUGCUAUAGACUAAAUAUUGAGGACUCAUCCUUCAGAGGAGAGGAGGAUGAACAAUUUGCAGACGAUGGAUUCGCAGAAGGAAAUUCUGACUGUCCAGUAGAAGAACUUGGUGAAUCUUUUGAGAUUGAAACUACAGAAGAUGGAAGAUACAGAGCAUCUCUUCUCAUUCCACGAUACUAUUUUGCACGUGUGGUUGGAUCUAAGGGUGCUGUGCGUCGUCGGCUUGAGAAUGAAACUAAGACUCAGAUCCAUGUUCCAAGACAGGGGCAAGAUGGAUGCAUUGUUAUCAUCGGAAGCACUAAGAGCAUGGUAUCAGCUGCUGGAAGAAGGAUUAACCUGAUAGUUAUGUCAGCACGACAGAAACAGCAGUUUACCCACUUUCUUUCUAUUCCGAUGGUAGGAGAUUCCAUAAAGAAGAGGUUUAUGAUUUUUAAGGAAGAAGUCCUUGACAUCUGUAAGAACAGUCAUGGUAUUGAUGCAUCUAUUUUUCAAGUACCAGAGAAAUUGCAUCUGACUCUUGGUACAUUGGUGAUUAUGGACACAAAUGAUCGAGAGAAGGCUGCACGGACCUUGGCAGAGUGCAAGGAGAGCAUCAUCACGCCACUAUUGAAGAACAGAGCACUUGUGGUUUGUAUGGCUGGUGUUGAAUACAUGAAUGAUGAUCCAGCUGAAGUGGACGUUCUGUAUGGGAAAGUGCAUGUUAAGGACGGGUCUCGCAUGCUGCAGGAGGUGGCCGAUGGGGUCAUUGAUCACUUUUGUUCUAAAGGUCUUAUGGAGAAACGAUAUGAAAGAGUAAAACUCCAUGUGACACUCAUGAACACGCUUUUCCGCAGUGAUGACGCUGAAUCUGAAAUGUCAAGAAGGAAGCAGAAACAUCGAGAGACAUUUGAUGCUACAAACAUCCUUAAGAAUUUUGAAGAUUAUGAUUUUGGAGAACAGACUAUCGAUAGCAUACAUUUAUCUCUGCGAUUUUCUACAUCUGCCAGUGGCUUUUACCAAGUCACUGCUGACGUAAGCUUCACUUGAAUGUUAAAGAAUACUGAGAAGCAAAGUUCUUAUGCAGUCCAAUAUAUUCGGACUGCUAUUGAACCGAUUCUGAGAGGGACGAGGAAAGUUGGAGUUCUGAUUCCGCGGACGAAGGGUCAUCACCUUCGUCAGCAACUUGGGGACCGCCAGACCAGUGUGACUGGAGAGGUGUGAAUAAUUAUUCCGGUGUAUCUGCGGGAAUAAAUAUCACUGCAGCUCAACAUCACUGGCCUGCUUCCUCUUAAUCGCAACUGAGGUGUCGUGUGUGCUCUUCGUGUGGGAAGCAGUCUAGCGUUUGUACGAAGUGCGUGAGCUGCGACGUUGGACUCUGCAUUUCGGAAUGUUUUUGGCAGUACCAUACGAAGGCCACAUUACCAUAGAUGACGCAGGAGGGAAGGCUGUUUCCUCAUGAAGAUGGUGAACAUAUAUCACGUUCUGUGGUGUGGCUCUGACAGAAACCAUUACAUUGAAUUACUUAGGAAAGAUAUGGAAUAUAUUCACAGAGAUAAAUGUGAAUACAAAAGGUGCACAGGAUGGUGGAGGAAAGAUUAUCAAAAUGAAUUUUGAAUUACUGUCUGUGACUAGGAAGAAUUUACGAACAUUGGAUAAAGCUGGAACAGGCAUGUAAGCCCAUUUUUUAAAAGGCAUAAGAAGAAUAAGUUCAAGAUCCAUAAUGUGCAGGGCUAAUGACAUGCCACAUCUGAUAACUGGUUACCACCUUCACAUAGGAUACUCCAUGUCAGUCCUGACCUACAUGCAUUUCAAGAAUUCGUUUUAUUGUAAUUUCUUUGUAUUCAUUUUUCUUGUAUAAAUACUAUACAGAGUAUCA